rnacentral:misc_RNA from 1 species
UUUGUGUAGUUCAAAAUCAUGCGGCGCGUAACUAUAAACGAAAUGUGUGUGAUAUAUAGAGAAAAAGCCUGUAGCGUUGUUAAAUAAUUUCAGGUUCGAAAUAAAUAAGAAGCGAACUUUUGUUUGUGUGCAGUCUGUAUAAUCGCGUUACCUUGACAACAAAGCCGGUGGUUAGUAAACAUAGUUCUCCAGGUUGAGGAAUGUAGAAGUAUGAGAGCUGUACCAGCGUGGGUGGACAAAGUUCACGACAGAGACAAGGUUGAACAAUGUAUAUAUGACCUCUGCUUCAACCCAGAUGGAUCACAAUUGGUUGUUGCUGCUGGCCAGAGAGUUCUUGUGUAUGAUACUAGUGAUGGUUCUCUGAUACAGCCUCUGAAAGGUCACAAAGAAAAUGUUUACUGUGUUUGCUAUGCUAAAGAUGGGAAACGUUUUGCAUCAGGGAGUGCUGAUAAAACUGUUAUAAUCUGGACAUCAAAACUUGAAGGGGUAUUGAAAUAUACUCAUAAUGAUGCUAUUCAGUGCCUAGCAUACAAUCCAGUCUCUCAUCAUCUUGCAAGCUGUGCCGUAAGUGACUUUGCAUUUUGGUCAGCAGAACAAAAAGCAGUACAGAAGUAUAAAUCAGGCUACCGCAUAAAUGCUUGUGGCUGGACUAAUGAUGGACAGUACCUCGCACUUGGUCUUAAUAAUGGUUGUGUUUCAAUUCGAAAUAAGAAUGGCGAAGAGAAAGGGAGGAUUGAAAGGCCAGGAGGUGCACAAACUCCAAUCUGGGCUCUUGCAUGGAAUCCAGCAAAGGAAGACAAUUUUGACGUGUUAUGCAUUGCAGACUGGGGUCAAGGUUUAUCGUUUUACACUAUGGGUGGCAAACUGGUGGGCAAAGAGCGCAAUAUUGGCUUUGAUCCCCUUUGUGUUAGUUAUUUCAAUAAUGGCGAAUAUCUUCUCCUUGGUGGAUCAAAUAAAAUGUGUACAUUGAUGACAAAAGAUGGAAUACGUCUUGGAACGGUUGGAGAAGAACAGUCUUCAUGGGUAUGGUGCUGUGCAGCCCGCCCAGAUUCCAAUUAUGUGGCCCUUGGAUGUCAAGAUGGCACAAUUGCAUACUACCAACUGAUAUUUAGCACAGUGCAUGGACUUUACAGAGAACGCUAUGCCUUCAGAGAAAAUAUGACCGAUGUAAUAAUCCAGCAUCUUCUGACAAAUCAGAAAGUCAGAAUAAAAUGUCGAGACCUUAUAAGGAAAAUAGCAAUUUUUAAACAUCGACUAGCAGUUCAGCUUCCGGAACGAGUUGUAAUAUAUGAACUAUAUGCAGGAGAUUCCACAGGAAUGCAUUAUCGCGUGAAAGAAAAAAUUAAUCAAAAAUUGGAAUGUAAUUUACUAGUAGUAUGCACAAACAGUCUUGUUUUGUGUCAGGAGAAACGUUUGCAAUGUCUUACAUUUGAAGGUACGAAAGAGAGAGAAUGGGUCAUGGAAUGUGCCAUACGGUACAUAAAAGUUGUCGGAGGUCCUCCAGGUCGUGAAGGCCUGCUCUUAGGGUUGAAAGAUGGUCAAGUGUGGAAGAUAUAUCUCGACAAUCCAUUUCCUGUGCACCUUCUUAAGGUAGAUUCUGCUGUAAGAUGCCUUGAUCUGAGUCCAUCAAGAAAGAAGUUAGCUGUGGUUGAUGAAAGCAGUCAGUGCCUUGUUUACGAUCUUGUUAAAAAGGAAUUAUUGUUUCAGGAACCUAAUGCUAAUAGUGUUGCAUGGAAUACUCAUUGUGAAGCAAUGCUUUGUUUUUCUGGCAACAAUGUUCUCAGUAUAAAGGUUGACAUGUUUCCUGUUCAUCAGCAGAAAUUACAGGGCUUUGUUGUUGGUCUUUGUGGAUCCAAAGUAUUUUGCCUCCACGUUUCUACAAUGUCAACAGUUGAAGUGCCUUUGUCUGCUCCUAUGUAUCAGUAUCUUGAGAAAAAGCUUUACUAUGACGCUUACCACGUGGCAUGCCUGGGAGUUACUGACACAGAUUGGGAAGCGCUUGGUCAUGCUGCUUUAGAAGGUCUGGAUCUUGAUGUUGCAAAACAUGCAUUUGUGCGGAAAAAAGAUUUGAAAUAUCUUGAGCUAAUAAGUGACAUACAGGAAAGAUUACGUAAAGGAGAAAAGGAUAAGGAAAUGUUCAUUGCAGAUAUAUUAGCUUUUCGUGGAAAAUUCAAAGAAGCUGCCCGGAUGUACCAGCGUUUGGGUCAAGAGCAGAGAGCUCUUAAUAUGUACAUUGAUUUGCGUAUGUUUGACUUGGCACAGGAUUACCUAGGUGCUGUUGAUAGCGUUGAUCGUAAAGCAUUGAUUCGCAAGAAAGCUGACUGGGCGAGGAAUAUUAAUGAACCUCGAGCAGCAGCGGAGAUGUAUCUCUCAUCUGGUGAUACAGAAAGAGCUAUUGAAAUUAUUGGCGAAAAUGGCUGGAUUGACAUGUUGGUGGAUGUUGGCCGGAGGCUUGACAAAGCAGAUCAAGAUGGUAUUAGGCAGAUUGCCGAACAUUUACAGCGAUUAGGACAAUUAAGCUAUGCAACUGAAAUGUUCAGAAAACUAGGUGAUGAGAAGAGUAUAGUUUUAUUGUAUGUAGAGGCCCAAGACUGGAAAGAAGCAUUUUUAUUAGCAGAAAAGCAACCUGAAUAUAGAGAUUUAGUGUAUGUUCCAUAUGCGCAAUGGCUUGCAGAAAAUGAUAGAUUUGCAGAGGCUCAGAAAGCUUUCCAUAAAGCUGGCCGCCCUGAAGAAGCUUUCCGUGUGUUACAUCAGUUGAUUCUAAAUGCUGUUAAUGAGAGUCGAUUUCAAGAUGCAGGAUACUAUCAUUGGAUAUUGGCACACCAGUGUCUGGAUAUUGCUAGAUCAGAUGAACAUCAGAAGACCAAGAUGAUAGAAAGAUUUCAUGAACAUGAAAAACAUGCAUCUAUUUAUUACGCAUAUGAUGCAAUACAGAAAUAUCUUGACGAGCCAUUUACUUCUUAUAUGCCAGAAGCCCUCUUCAGUAUAUCGAGGUAUUUGAUGCUUGAGACAAAAGAUUUGCGACCCAAAGGAGUAUCUCAGUUUGCUAUAUUGUACACACUUGAAAAGCAAUCCCAGCAGCUGGAGGCAUACAAGUUAGCACGGCAAGUACUGGAAAAAAUCCAACAGCUUCGAAUACCACAUAGAUUCCAGGAAUACAUAGAUCUUUCAUCAAUAAUGAUACGAGCCAAGCCAUAUCAUGACAAUGAAGAAUUGCUCCCCAUGUGUUACCGUUGCUCUACUUAUAACCCACUGAUGAACACAUCUGGAAAUUGUUGUACACAAUGUAGGCAACCAUUUGUGCAUUCAUAUGUUUCCUUUGAAGUCUUGCCACUUGUGGAAUUUCAACUAGAGGAUGGAAUCACUGAUGAAGAAGCUGUCCAAUUGAUAGAAGCUGGAAAUCCAUCAAGUUCUGCAAAUGAUGGGUGGAAACAAGGAGGAAGUGAUCACUACCAAACGUUACAGUUUGAUGAAUCUUCUAACAGUGUAUCAGAUCUGUUCACUGCAAAUCUCAUGAACUUUGAGACUGAAACUGGUGAGUUUGUGCCUGUGCUUGUUAGCAGAGCUGUCCUAAAAACUAUGGAUCCAGGAAGUGUACUCAUCUGCAAACGGCCAAAACCCUUGAGGUUCCAGUUCUACCGAAACUUACUCCCAGAUCUGCAGAUAACACAGUGCCCAUCAUGCAAUAAGAUACUGUUACAGUCAACAACUUAAACAAUGAAAAAUCCAGGGUGAAGUAAUGACAAUAUUAGGAAAAAGAUAUAUAUAAUGAAAAUGUUGAAUCGCAGACAGGCACUACAAAAAAAGACUGCUAAACAGGUGUUCCAUGUUGAUGACUAUGAACUUCAGGUACUGCUGAAAGGACACUGUCCAUUCUGCAGGUAUCAGGAGAGACAAUCAUCGAGUGAAACCGAAGAUAAUAAAUUGGUAUAACAUGUCAGUGCACUCCCCAC